GAUGAAUGCUGGCGGCGUGCCUAACACAUGCAAGUCGAGCGGCAGCGUGAGUAGUUUACUACUUGGCGGCGAGCGGCGGACGGCUGAGUAACGCGUGGGAACGUGCCCCAAAGUGAGGGAUAACGCACCGAAAGGUGUGCUAAUACCGCAUAUGAUCUUCGGAUUAAAGAAUUUAUUCGCUUUGGGAGCGGCCCGCGUCGGAUUAGGUAGUUGGUAGGGUAAUGGCCUACCAAGCCGACGAUCCGUAGCUGGUCUGAGAGGAUGACCAGCCAGACUGGAACUGAGACACGGUCCAGACUCCUACGGGAGGCAGCAGUGAGGAAUCUUCCACAAUGGGCGAAAGCCUGAUGGAGCAACGCCGCGCGCAGGAUGAAGGCCUUCGGGUUGUAAACUGCUUUUAUAAGUGAAGAAUAUGACGGUAACUUAUGAAUAAGCACCGGCUAACUACGUGCCAGCAGCCGCCGUAA
rnacentral:rRNA from 1 species